CUGCUGCUAUAGAGAUCUUCGCAGGUGAAGAAGGCAACAAGAACAAGCACGCUGCUUGUUCCUUCUCCCAUUUUUUUUCGUGCUGCUUGUCGGUUAUUACGUGCACUUGAUCAGGCAGCAAUAUCGCGAAGGCUGAGAGAAGCCCAGCAACGUCUGAGAGAAGACGCAAACACAUAGACUGUACACUGUUCAUAGAACCAUGAUGGGCUACGAGGGUCGCUGCGUCCUUCUGGACGACGCCGACGAAUGGGUGAAUAUUCCAUUUGUGGUACGCGAGUUUAUGAAACAGCUCAAUGACGAAGCGCAAGCAUCCCGUGCCGUGGUGGAGAUGCUACGUCAAGAGCAGAAAGAGACAAAUCUGCUACUCCGUCGAGUGAUGCAAAAGCAGGCGGAUCUGGAAAUUGACAACGCACGUAACAUAAUGUCACUGAAUCACCACGCUUCAAGAGUUGCCCACGACUCCACAGAGAAGCGGCACACAGAGCAGAUUCACUCUCUUCGGAAAAAGGCAGAAAAACUUGACGAAAAGAUGCAGCAUCUUUCUGCACAUGUUGAAGAGCUAUCGAAGUCAGCCCUCUUCUCCAUCAGUACUGGCAGCGCCUUUGAUGAGUUGAAAGGACUUGUCACUUGUCUGACCACUAAGGCGGAGACAACGGAGAGACUACUCAAAGAUCACGUCGACGCUUGUACAGUGGGCCGGAGAUCCACUGAAUCACUGGUUGACUCAGCGGCGUUGGCGGCUGUCACAGACGUGCAGAAAACGCUCAAGAGUGAGCUGGACGUCUACAGUACACAGCAAAGAAGCUUGGAGAAGAGCAUCGGGCUUCUCCGAGAAGCUUCCAGUUCUCAAAAGGAGGAAAGUAGCAGAAUUCGCGGCAUGUGCGAGGAGUUAUCGCAGAUUGUUGAGGCGGAUCAAAAGGCGAGCAGAGAACGUUUCACAUCGUGCUUUAAUACGGUGGAGAAGCUCGAGUGUUUGUGCGUCGCGCAGCACGCCGAGCUGGAGUUGCGUAUGAAGCGAGCAGAGGAUACCUGUCUUGGGAGCGAGUCCAGAUCACGAGAGGAAGCGAAAUCUCUCUAUGCUGAGCUUCGAGGUCUUGUCAAGGAGGACCAGGCUGAAACGCGGCAGCGCUAUCACGAAUUGGCAGAGGAGUUGCGCACGGUAAAGGAACAGCAGCGGCGCCUGACGGAGCAGCUGGCAACUGCAAACCACGAGGCGGAGGCUCUCACGCAGCGUGCCGUGAAGCAGAUGAAAGACAUUUCUGUGCGUCUUGAUAGUGUGGAAACGGAGGUGGAGCAGCUUGGUUCCACCUUGGUGGCUCGCCGCGACCAUCAGGAGCAGCGACAGACGCAGGACGCGCUUGAAGCAAUCAGGACCUCGUUAGCAGACACCGUGGCGACCUUUCAGGCACAGGUGCAGCAGCUCGCCACUUCCGUCAAGACUAUGCGGGCGGAGCAAAUGGAAGAUAAUGAUUGGCUGCAUAACGAGCUGGGCCGCAUCGGCACAAUGGUGGGCUACGCAUCACAGCAGCGCGAAAAGCAGGAGCGGCAAGUGACAUCCUUGUGCGAAAUUGUGCAUAAUCUCUCGGUCGCUGUGGAGGGGCUUCAGAAGGGGUGCGGCGUCACUGUGGUACCCCCUCCAGCGCCCGCUGCUUCACCAGCGCAGGCGAACACACCAGAGAGCUGCACAAGCAUUGAGAUUCCAGCGGCGUGGGAAACAUGGCGGUCGACCUUUGUGAAAGAUGUGGAGGAGAGGAUCACGGCGGCGGUGUCACCGAACUCACAGCCGCACGCGUCGCCGCCUGUACUUGAACGCGUGUCUCAGCAGCUGAACGAGCUGACUGCGAAGGUAGACGGCGGCGCCAAGUAUACACAGGCCAUCGUGUCGCAGCAGAUGGAUCAGAUGCGGAGCACAGUGAGAGAUGAGGUGACGCAUCAGCUGCAGUCGCACGCAGCAUUGCGCGAAGUGACGCCAGCGUUGGUAGAGGUGGAGGCUGUGAAGCGCCGCGUGGCGGGGAUCGAGCUAGGCCUGCAGACGCUGUCAACACGCGCCGACCGAUGGUGCACGGACACUGAAGCCGGAAGCCUUUCCCCCACGAACCCCGUGCUUCAGCGUGUUCUCCUGGUCGAGGAGGCGAUAGACGGCUUCAAGCGUCGGCUACUGGAGCUCGGCGAGCACGUGAUGAGUGUUGACCAGCGGAGCAGCCAACUUGCCUGCGGGGCCCAUGAGAUGGAAGCACAACUGCACGACCAGCAGCGCAUGACGCUCAAGCUGGGCACUGAUCUGACGGCGGCGCUGGAGGGCCUGCUGCACACGGAGCAGUCUCUUUCCCGUCACCAAAACUCGACAACACUGCAGCUGUCGGAGGUGCACACGCAGCUGGAAAAGUGGAAGCGUGAUGCCGCAGCGGCACCAACUGCAGCUGCGCCGUCUGUCGAGUCACCAUCGAGUGUGCAAAAUGGCGCUGCUGCUGCUUUUGGAAUGAACGCCGAUGUCUCUCGCAGGAGCCUGAGCGCCAGUGUUGCCCGAUUGACGGAAACGGUAGAUCACCUUUCCGCGCAGGUGACUCGAAUAGAGACAGAGACACUACAAGCGCUGCACGCCGAUCUUGAAGCAGUGCGAGGCGAGUGUGCUGCUGCUACUGCGCGGCAAAGCAGGAGGGACGGCGUGUCUUCGCCCGCUUGCGACGCGCUACACAGAGAGGCGGUGCGCGCCGCCUACGAAGAGCUCCAUCGCCACCUUGACGCUGAGGAGUCGUCACGCCGUGAGGCGGCGGCGGCGGCGCUCUGCACAGUGGAGGAACGGCUGCUCGCCAUUGAGAGAGAUGUUUCGGAGCUACUCUCCUCUCCUCCUAACAGAGGGUCCCCACCAGCCGGUGACGCAGACUCGGCUGCCACCGCGGCAGCCGUGAAACACUGCGUUGAUGAGCUGGCGCGGUGCCAUGAGCGACUCGACGUAGUCCAGCAGCAGCUUAAUAGCAAUGCGUGCCGCUGCUCCAGUGGUGUUCCGCGCGUCCGUGAAGUGGAGAGAGAUGCUCACCACCAGGAUGUGCAUCGGCUGCAGCAGCAGCUGGGGCGUUUGCAGGAGGACAUGCACGCUUUUGUGACGUCUCAGCUGCGCACAGAGAUGCGUGAGGCAGAGCCGGCCUUGGUUGAGGCUGCCGCGACCGCUGCCGUCCUCCGUUGCCAGGACGUGCUGAAGGCUGCUGCUGAAUCCAGCGCCACUGCGGUAGAUGCACACGCCAACACAGAGAGCUUAGCGGCGCUGCAAGCUGCCGUGGAGGAGGUGCAGCACACCCUCGAAGAGCGCAUCUCGACUCUGCUCGAGGGCUACGACCGCGUCGAGAGCAUGGAGAAGUCACUUCGUGCUACUGCUGACGACCUCAGCGCACUGGAGAAGGCGCAGUCGGAGCUGCGCAGCGAGCUGGAAAGGGCCCAAUCGGCACACCAGGCGCACCAGCGAGACUUCUCGCUCCAACUCGAGACUAUCGUGAGCGGCAUGGAGACAAAGAUCGACGAACUGCGCGCUAACGUGAAGGGGUCGGCCGUCGUAGCAACGACCGAAUCGUUCGAGGCGGGCGACCGCGCACAGAAACCCUCCGACGAUACUAAAGCGGCCUGGGUAGCGGAGGUGGUCGACUCGAUGCACGCCACCUACUACCCACGGGCACUUCUCGAGGAGCGAUUGGAGAACAUAUGGUCCUCGAUGAUUGGCCUCCUCGCACGCAAGGAGGAUGUCAGCGCUGUGCACGACAAGCUCAACGGCCUUCAUCAGCUCAUUCAGGAGGAGAUGCAGAUCGAAGUGCAGCGGCUCGAGGAGGAGCUGGCGAAUCAGCUGGCAGAGAAGGUGAGCUUGGCGAACUUGCAAGACAUAUUGGAGCACCACAUCGCUGGCUCAGACGCCGACUCCGACCAUGCCGUCAUGUGAGCAGGAUGCGAACGAGGAUGCAUUCAGUGCGUGCAUAAGAGAGAAGGGGUGACAGCUGUAUGGACUGAGAGACAAAGUCCUGUGCACAUGAGCGGACCUGCAGGCGCCUUGUCGGCGUUAUUGCGCCUUGCCUCUUCCUCUUCCUCUCUCAGCGUCUGCGUGUGUGUGUGUGGUGGUCGCCCUUGAGAUUUGACAUGUGCUUGCUUACCCCCUCUCCCUCUCCCUCUCCCUCUCCCUCUCCCUCUCCCUCUCCCUCUCCCUCUCCCUCUCCCUCUCCCUCUCCCUCUCCCUCUCCCAUGAGUAG
rnacentral:misc_RNA from 1 species